GUUAAAUAUUUAAAUCUAGCAGAUUUUGUUCUAAAAUACAAAAAUGUGAUUUUUAACCGUAUUAUCCAAAAAACAGGUACCGAACCAGCACCAAACUAAACUCGAAACUUUAUCGAGUUUUUAAUAUAUUUAUCCCAAUCAAACUGAGAGCUAAACUAAUAAAUCCGAAACCAAACCUAAAUUCACAAAUAAUUGAACAGUCCCUAUAUUUUUAAUUCGAAAAAAAAACAAAAUCACAACCGAAACUGAAAACACAAAAAGUAACAAAUUACAGUCAAACUGAAAAUUGAACGCACAUGCCUAAACAUAUUAGUGAACAAAUAUAUGGAUUAAUAAAAUUUUCAACGAAAAAUAUCUCGCACUUUCAAAGCGUGUGUUAAAAUUUAGUAUACUUUAAUCUAAAUAACAUCUUUCUCCAAUCUGUAAUGACCGGUUUUCCUUAACCAAUUUUGAUUUAGUUAAUAUAAUAUAUAAAAUCAGUACCAAACCCCUA
rnacentral:lncRNA from 1 species